rnacentral:misc_RNA from 1 species
UCUCCGUAGGUGAACCUGCGGAGGGAUCAUUACAGAGUUCUCGCCCUCGCGGGUAGAUCUCCCACCCACUGUUAUCGUUACUGUGUUGCUUUGGCGGGCCGCCGGGCCCCGCUCGGCCGCCGGCCCCGGCUGGCGCGCGCCCGCCAGAGGCCCAGCAAACUCUGAAUGUUAGUGUCGUCUGAGUACUAUAUAAUAGUUAAAACUUUCAACAACGGAUCUCCUGGUUCUG